UUCCUUUGUUGCUUUAGUCUGCUUCUGCUUCAUUCUUCACUCGGAAGAACAAUCAGAAAUGGGAAUGCGAACUGAAGGAAGAAGCUAAAAAGUGCCUUUGUCUCCAUCUUUCUUCUCUGAACCUGUUCCACAUUGUUUUCUGUGGCAUGAUUUGAAAAACAAUAUGAAGAAAGUGUUACAAGGCUAACCAAAAUCAACUGUUUGGAACAUCAUUAAAAAGAAAGAAAGCACUGGUGGGCUCAGAAAUCACAAUCAAGUUAUCUCUCAACAUGAAGAUCAAAGAAAUGUCAAUGACAGUGACCUAGCUGAUGACCUCCGCGCACACCGAAAUGCACUCCUGGUGAGAGGAACCCACCGCCCACUCCAGCAAGCCUCAUCCCCCUCGGGGCAGAUCAGAAGCCAUCAUUACCAUAGAGACUGCUAGUCGGGAUCUCCGAGAGCUGCGAAGAAAACUGGGACAAAAGGAUGUAAAUCACAAGUAACAGGCCGAAGUUCAUCGGCAGGUGAGGAGUCCACUGUCCCUUGUCACAUUGCCCUUGUGAUGUGUUUAGUCUUCCCUUGUUGCUUAGUCUCUACCCCUCCCAAACCCCCCCUGCUGCCCCCUCCUCCCAACCUCCCCGCCAUUCCCUUGUCUGGGAAAUGAGCCACAGGGCGGUUGGAACCGGAUCUCAAUUUCGCCCACUUUCCUGAACCUGUGAAAUGAGGGAGAAGAGAGGAUCGACAUGACCCCUUCGGUUUGAGGAGCCCAGCUGUGAAGAAUGCAACACAGAUGCUAAUCUUUGAAUUUCCUGUCCAUUCCCCCUGGAGGGCUUUGAGACACUGUGUCAAAGAAAAGGUGAUCCGACUGCAAGUAUCUACGGUUAUUGGUAGCUAUACAACUGAAGGCAUGCUAACGGCCGAGGCUUAAAUGUCAGCAUUAUGAAAUGGUUAAAUGAGUGUAUUUUGGAUGUCCAAUAAUAUGGCUGAAGCACAAUAGGCAGGAACCCUGAUGAUUCCCAAAAUACAUUUUAUUUGUCUCAAAGGUUUGUAGUGGUGAGCAUGUUAUCAAUGGCAGAACAAAAUAUGACAUAACUCUUUUAUGCUCAUUUCUCGACUACUCCAUUUUCCAAAAUACAAAUUCAGUUAUUGAACCCAUAUAGUAUCUAUCAGCAGUUCUAUAAUGCAUUAAUGCAUAUCUCCAUCACUGUCCCUGUUUUCUUCAACCAAACUCCAAAUGAUGCAUUGAAAUAUGCCGUAAAGUCCCAUCCUUCUUCUGUCUUAGCAGGCACAUGUCAAGAUGUAUGUCAGCCCUGCAGUCACAGGGAGGCUGGUUAGUCUGUUAGAAGUUUAGUGCUGUGUGGGCAUGUCCCUCUGCAUCCCCCUGCCCGUCUCUCUGUCUCAGGCCGUCCCGGAGGAGCUGUUUUAGGAGGGUGAGCAGGCGAUGCUGGAUUGUGCGGCUGUGGUCCACCUCCUCGCCCUCCGCUGUCUCGGCACAGUCCUGCACCGCCCGCUGCAGCGCCACCUGCAGGGGGAACCCGGCUCUGGCACCCAGCAGUGUGGGCGAGAACCAGUGUCUGAAAAUCUUGUCACAGAUCACCUGGGGAAUGGAGGGGAGAAGAAUGAGCUAACUGAGGAAAGCUAAUGUAUUACAAUGCCUGUCUGAAAAGUGAGGGAUUUAUGUCAUUCUGUGGGGAUGGUGCAAUAAGAACUAAAAAUGGGUAGAGCUAGCAUGUGCUGUCAGAGAGGAAUGCUACUUUUUUUUGCUAAAGCUGGGCAAAGACUUUUGACUGGCUCAUGCAAGUCAGUGUGCAUAGCACACACUACAGUAGCUCCAUCGAUUUCUGAGUUACUGAAGCCUCCCUUUCCAAACACUGCAUUUUCCCCCAUCGCAUAUCUUGCUUUUGAAGCACUAUGCUGCUAAUAAAUCUGCGAUGUCAGCUCCUUGAAGUCUAAUAAAUGUUACUCCAAUGCAAUUCAAGGUCACUCGUCUGUCCUUUUUAAAUGUAUUUUCUGCCUGCUUUAAGAAGCUUAUGCCAUGCAAUAUUCAUGUGCUUUCAAUGUAAAUUAUUUGUUAUUGUUGCCAUCAGCCAUACUGAUUAUAUACUGCUGAGAGUCUGAGUCACCGUUUCCCAUUCUCCUUGUUGAAGACAAAUAAACAGGGCUUGCUGAGA